AGCAGUGUCGCUAUGCGUCUCCGUCUCACCUCGAUGCGGAGCAACGGUACGAAACACGUGCGAGAUGC
rnacentral:snoRNA from 2 species